AGUGAACGCUGGCGACAGGCCUAACACAUGCAAGUCGAACGGCAGCACAGUAAGAGCUUGCUCUUACGGGUGGCGAGUGGCGGACGGGUGAGGAAUACAUCGGAAUCUACUUUUUCGUGGGGGAUAACGUAGGGAAACUUACGCUAAUACCGCAUACGACCUACGGGUGAAAGCAGGGGAUCUUCGGACCUUGCGCGAUUGAAUGAGCCGAUGUCGGAUUAGCUAGUUGGCGGGGUAAAGGCCCACCAAGGCGACGAUCCGUAGCUGGUCUGAGAGGAUGAUCAGCCACACUGGAACUGAGACACGGUCCAGACUCCUACGGGAGGCAGCAGUGGGGAAUAUUGGACAAUGGGCGCAAGCCUGAUCCAGCCAUACCGCGUGAGUGAAGAAGGCCUUCGGGUUGUAAAGCCCUUUUGUUGGGAAAGAAAAGCAGCAGGUUAAUACCCCGCUGUUCUGACGGUACCCAAAGAAUAAGCACCGGCUAACUUCGUG
rnacentral:rRNA from 1 species